ACACUGUGGAAGUGGAUCUCUCUC
rnacentral:miRNA from 1 species